UACAGAGGUCCCGAGCGUUGUUCGGAUUCACUGGGCGUAAAGGGUGCGCGGGUGGGUUGGCAAGUUUGAUGUGAAAGCCCGGGCUUAACCCGGGAAUGGCAUUGAAUACUGCUGAUCUGGAGGAUCGGAGGGGGGACUGGAAUUCUUGGUGUAGCAGUGAAAUGCGUAGAUAUCAAGAGGAACACCAGUGGCGAAGGCGAGUCCCUGGACGAUACCUGACACUGAGGCACGAAAGCCGGGGGAGCAAACAGGAU
rnacentral:rRNA from 1 species